CGCAUUUGUCCAUGGCAAAUGGAUCAUCUGAAACUACACACUGAAGAGGGCAAUUAUACUGAGAUACACAGAGUGAUUUAUGUUUCAAACAUUACAAAUCCAAAUAGGAAUAUUUGGGUAUUGGUAAGUAGAAAAAAAUGCGCAGUGAAGAGAGAUUCAAGGACCAGGUGGAACUGAGGUACAUGCCUCUGAAGAUGCUUCUUCCCUUUGCUCCACAGUGUCUCUCAAGAGCUUUCAUCUACAGAUACAAUAAAGGUUGUGUUUUCUUAUCUAUAUUAGAAUUGGCCAAAGAGUAGAGAAUUUGAACGUCAAUAUCAACGGAAGUGUCUGAAUUUUCAGUAGCCUGGCUAAUAAAAGAGACCCUACACUAUUUUCAUGUCUCCUAUUAUCCUAUGUAUAGACAAAAUAAUAUACUACAUAAUAUAUAAAUUUUUUUUUUUUGUGCACCAUCGAAAUUUUUUCAUUAAAACUAAACCAAGACCGGUUCAAUGGUCUGGGUCAGAACAAAGUUUGAUAGAGAGUUUUUUGCAGCAGAGUCCUCAAAACAGAGUGUCUCUCGGCGACAAAAACUAAACGAUACAAAAUCAAAGGAAAUUGAAAGGAGAUAGAUAUCAGAGAGGAUGCCGUGAAGAUCAGAGAAGCUUGAUCCAUCUGCAAUUGCCGUCACCAAUUGCAGAGAGUCAGAUUCAAAGACCACCCGUCUCAUCUGAAGGGCAACAGCUUGUUCCAUUGCUGCGCGCAGUGCUAGUCCUUCUGCCAUGAGGGACGAAUUCACAAACGCUACUGGUUGAUCGUGGGAGCUAAAGCGCUCCUUUUGGUUACGGUAGAAACUCCAAGCAAGACCCGCGGCCUGUAGAUCUUUCCUCCACGCUGCAUCUGAUUUACAGGUAAUCUCAGUUGUCGAUCUGUUGGGUUGGAUCUUCCUCCUCUGCUCACAAAUCUUGACUGGUACUUGGGCUGUCGCCCACUCUUUAGCAUCAUAGAUUGCUUUGGUUACUGUUUCUUGAGCAGAGAAAGUUCUGUUUUGAAAUAAUUUUUGGUUUCUUGCUUUCCAUAUGGCCCAGAUGAUCCAGGGAGCUAGAAUGGCAUUUCCGAGACCAAUAGGAGGGAGGACUACUGUUCGGAGUAGCCUUUUCCAUUCCAGGUCAAAAUCGUUCAGAGGCAUUGGAUUGAACCCGCCAGAGAAAGGUACCAAUUCCCAUACUUUUAACGCAUAGGGACAUUGGAAAAAUAGAUGAGAAAUAGAUUCAUGGCUUUCACAGUGAAUGCAUUUGGUACCUGAUAGGACUUGUCUAGCUUCGAGCCUAUCUCCGACUGGUAGUGCUCUAUGUUUGAUCUUCCAAAUGAACAAUUUGAGCUUAGGAGAAGUAGUUAGUUUCCAUAUCUCUGGUAGCCAGUCGCUCGAAUUCCUAGGGUUCUGUUCAGGGGUGAUUUGUUUCCUCUCGACCGCUGUAUAGUAACCAGUCUUUGUAGUAUAGGAUCCUGACUUGUGUCGCAGCCAGAUUUGCUUGUCUUCUCCCCCCCAUUUGCUGGUCUUUAUACUUAGGAUCUUAUCUCGGAGCAGGGGAAAGUGAUUUUCGAUCAUCUGUCCAUUCCACUCUUUGGUUUCCGUAGAGAUUAGCUCUGCGACUUUCAGGGAACUCUGAUGCUCGGGAGUUGGUCCCAUUGGUCGUACUGGUGCUAUUAGAGAUAGCCAUGCAUCAUCCCAAGCCAAGACUUUUUCACCAUUGCCAAUGGCCCAUCCUAGUUGCUCUUUUAGGAGGUCUCUCCCUAUCAGUAUUCCUCUCCACCCAUGUGAGCAGGAGCUAGGGGCUGAUACUUGCAUGAAGUCUUGAUCGUGACAAUAUUUGCCUUUAAGUACUCGGGCAAGCAAACAUGAAGGGGAUUCUAGCAUGCGCCAACUGAGCUUUGCUAGUAGAGCAUCGUUGAAACAUUGGAUAUCCCUGAAACCCAACCCUCCCUCUUGUUUUGAUUUGAUCAUAGUAUCCCAUGCGAUCCAAUCCAUCUUUUUCUCUCCUGUAUUAGAGUCCCACCAAAAUCGAGUCAAAACAGAUUGGAUCCUCUUGCACAAGGAUAGUGGGAGUUUAAAGCUUUGCAUUGCGUGGUUAGGCAUAGGAGAUAGCACACUCUUCAACAGAGUCAUCUUCCCCGCUGAGGAUAAAAAUCUGUUAGUCCACCCUUUUGCUCGUUGUCUGAUCUUAUCAACUAUUGAGGUGAAGAGAUCCUUUUUCUUGCGUCCAAAGUGCUCAGGUAGGCCUAAAUAUUUCCCAGAGCCCCCCUCAUUCACGAUCUGAAGUUCCGCUUGCACUCUAUCUCGGAUUGUCUGCGGGGUCUUAUGUGAGAAGGUAAUACCCGACUUCAACUGGUUGAUCUUCUGUCCCGAGGCCCGUUCGUACCUGGCCAGAAUUCUUUGGAGAGUUGCUACACUCCGUUUGUUGGUUCUACAGAAGAAGAGUGUGUCAUCAGCAAACAACAGGUGGUUCACUCUUGGACUGUUUGUGGCCACUUUGAUGCCUUGGAGCUUUUUAUCCUCCUGUGCUUUCCUGCAUAAACCCGAGAGCACUUCGCUGCACAGAAUGAAAAUAUAGGGAGACAGCGGAUCUCCUUGCCUAAUGCCCCUCUCUGGUUUGACCCAUCCUUGCUCAGAUUCAUUGAUUAAAAAAGAGUAGGAGACGGUUUUGACACAUUGCAUGAUCCACUCAAUCCAGAUUACGUGGAAGCCAAGGUGGAUCAUAACUUCUUCAAUGAAAUCCCAUUCUAAGCGAUCGUACGCCUUACUCAUAUCAGUUUUCACUGCCAUGGAGCACCGUUUAGAAGCUGUUGACGUUUUUAGGAAAUGAAGGACCUCGUGGGAGAUGAGGAUGUUGUCAGUUAUAGCUCUUCCUUGGACAAAAGCAGAUUGGUUUUCAGAAACCAAGUCAGGAAGUAGCGUUUUGAACCUGUUGGCCAAUAGUUUAGAGAUUAUUUUGUAAUAGACAUUGCAUAGCGCAAUUGGUCUAUAAUCUCCAACUGAUUUGGCCUCAGUAUUCUUGGGUAUUAAUCUGACUAGGGUGUGAUUAAGUGAUCUCGGCAUUACACCGGAAGAGAAAAACUCUUGGAUUUCAGCUACAAUGUCUGGCCCAACGGUACUCCAGUUUGCUUGGAAGAAACUUGCUGAGAACCCAUCCGGACCAGGAGCUUUGUCCGGAUGAAUAGCAAGUAACGCCAAGUGUAUUUCAGAAGCUGGUGGGAUGGUAAUGAGUUUUUGAUUGAUCUCAGGGGGUACUUUAUUGGUGAGCGCCUCUCUCACUAUCUGUCUUCUUUGGCCCGGUAUGGAGAUGAACAGAUUCUUGAAGUAGUCAACUAUCGUUUCUGUGAUCUCCUUCUCUGUAAAUACCGGGUUCCCUUCUGCAUUUUCCAUGACUGAGAGGUUGUUAAUUGCUCUGCGCCCCUUAGUUACCGCAUGAAAAUAUCCUGAGUUUCUAUCCCCUAGGCUCAGCCACAAAUUUCUGCUUCUCUGCUUCCAGAAAGCUUCCUCAGCAAGGUAAGCCGCUUUAAGAUCAGAGUUUAUCCUAUUUAACAGAGAAUCAUCAUUUGAGGUACUUGUCAUCGCUUUCUCAAGCUCCUCUUUCCACUUGUUAAUGAGUAGCUUGCUGUUCCUUUGUUGUUCCUUGUUCCACUGAACCAGCGCUGAUCUCACCAUGCCAAUUUUUGUUUGAACUGACCUUUUUCCUGCUUUCUUCCAUAUUUGUUGUACUAAGGCUUUGACUUCAGGGUUUUCUCUGAGUCUUCGAUCAAAUCUAAACAGCCCUUUUCCUUUUUUCCUAGUUAGAUCGAAGCAGGUUAAGAUCGGCCUAUGGUCAGAACCCUCAUAAUUUAGAUACUCAACACUUCCAGAAUGAAAGAUAUCAAACCAAUGGCUGUUUGCCACUGCCCUGUCCAGACGACAGCGCACAACUCCUUCUGUCCAUACCCCUCUCCAGGAGAGAAAAUCUCCUGUGUGUGGUAGAUCAUAGAGAUCACACUCUGACAUGAAGGUCCUAAAGUCCACAAAAGACCCCUCUGCUCUAACUCGGCCCCCUUCUUUUUCUUGGUUGGUAAGUAUAUCGUUGAAAUCCCCAGUAAUGAACCAGGGGGAGUCACGAGAAAGAGUGAGAGCUGUAAGUUCCUCCCACAUUUGUCUUCUCACAAUAUAAUCUGUAUCCGCGUGAAUAAAGGUUGCGAAAAAACUCUUAUUCUCAUACAUUAUUUCGGUAUCAAUGUAGUGUUUACAGGAGAAUAAGAUAGUAACACUGAUUCCUUGUUUCCAGAGCAGGGCUAAGCCUCCAGCUCCGUGCCCUGUAGGAGGUACCAGAUGGGAGUUUGGAUAAGCCAACGAUGCACAUUUACGGAGAACAAAGUCGUUGGAGUUCUUUGUCUCUGUGAGGAAUGUAAUGUCAGGAGAGAAUUUCUUGUGGAUCUCUCCAAGUCUCUGGACUGUCUGGGGAUUCCCCAACCCCCGACAGUUCCAGCUCACAAUCUUUAAGGAAUUGGAGCGGGCGGAUUCUGAAAAUCCACCUUCCUCUUUGCAAUGCCCGGAAUAAUCUGUACUGUCGGCUGAGAAUUGUUUGCACUGCCCCCUCUCCUGGUACUGGUAGGUCUACUGGAAACAGGACCUCUAGUAGAUGAAGUUGGAACACUUCUUCUUUUUGGAGAUAUCUUGACUUGGGCGACUUUUCUCUUCUUGGAGCUAACACCGGUAUUCACUCCUAAGGGCUUAGGUUGGUUCCUACUCAGGGGGGGGUCUGCCUAGACGUUUUUUAACUGUUAUUCUUGGUGUAUCAGCCUCAGGAGUGAUAAUCGUCUCUUGAGUAGCUCCCAACCUAGAUAACACAGAGAUUCUUUCCGCAGAGGUCUGUACAUCAGACAUUCUUCUAUCACCCUCUGGUUCAGUCGCAUCCACUGUAUCUUGAUCAUGCAGUGACCCCAGCCUAGAUAGCGCGGGAAUUCUUUCUACGAUGGUCUGGGUCUCCGCGGUUCUCCGAGCUCCUUCAGCAGAAACAGUAGCCUCAAUAGCCAUAUUCAUGAUCACUUGUUCUGUUUCUCCAUUUUCCUCAGCAUAUCUCAUUCUUUCUCUUCGAGCAGCGCUCUCUGAAGGAUCAGCUCCAUUAACAUAUUGGAUCAUUACUUCGCGAAGUUCCUCCCUAGCUUCUCUAAUUGCUUCUUCAGGGACCGGAACUCUAGAUGUGUUUUGAUAGUCAGAUUGAGUGCUACGCUGAGGGGAUACCGGUCUCUCCUGCCUUUGCGCAGAGGAAAGGUGUUCUGAAUUUGCGUUGCGGGAGCAAUCCAGUCUCUUUUGACUCUGGCUAAGGGCGUUUGUCUCAGGAGGGUGAGAUGUGCCUGAGUAGUGUGCUCGUCUGCCAGUUUCUACCCACCGAGAUCCAAUUUGUCUAUAGUUUGAGACUUGCGCAGAGUUGGAGUGUCGGGGGUAGUAGUUUAGAGAUCUUGAAUAAGAUUCAUUAGUAUGUGCUCUCUUACUUGCCACGUAACGAGUCUUAUUUUCAUUAUCACGGUAGGAAUGUGAGCGAGUUCCAUAGUCAGCUCUUCUAGCAUCCCUCAUGAACCCAGAUGCUUGGCGAGAGAUUCCCCUUUGGUUGGGGUGUUGUGCAUGCUGAUUGGAUCCAUUUUUACGGUAAUCUGCCAUUUCUUCCGCCUUAGUUUUAAGAUCGUUUUGAUGUUCUGUCUCCUGUGGGUUUUGACCUGGAUUUUGUGGACAGUCAUUGUACUCAUGAUCAAGUUUCUUGCAUGUUGUGCAGAAUUUUUCCAACUUUUCAUAGACCAGAACCACGGUGACUUCAUCACCGUUUUUGAAAUCUAGAGUAGUCUUGAAAACGAGGGGUUGGAGGCCGUUGAUGUGUACUCUGAACCUUGCCUUGGAGGCAGUAAUUUCCCAACUUUCAAAGGUUCCAAUAUCACCUGCAAUGCUUCUAAGGAUGGCCUCGUUCCAAAGAUGCAGAGGUAAGUCUUGAACUUGGACCCAAAAAGGUAUCUGAGAAGGGAAUCUUGGUGAGACUGAAGGUUCCCAUUGUUGUAGGAUGAGCAUCCAUUUGGCGAAAUGAUAUGGCCUAUUGUCAAGGACAUUUUGUAGAUCUUCCGCUGAGGCAAAUUGAAACUGGAAUCUUCCUUGUCCCAGAUCAGAACCAAAAGGUCUUGAGUUGCAUUUCCACAGGUCUGAGAGGAAAGGAAUAAGGGACCACAUUCGCUGAUGCUUGGGGUUGGUAACUCUUCCUAUAAGAGUGAGCUCAUGCUUCUUUAUCAGCUCUGAGUUAUCAAAAUCAGGUACACUAACCCUACCUCUCCUUGGUGGUGAUGCAUUAUUUGCUAAGCCUUUUCCUUUUUCUGUUGAGGUUAGUCUUCUAGCCAUGGUGGUAGCUGUAGAUUUGAUCUUGCUUGAAAGAGAUAAGGGUUCUCCGCAAAGCGGGAAAGUUCUUAGAAACUAGAGUUCUAGAAAGUUGUUUGCUUAAACAUGUAACCUGUCCAUAUAGCGAAAGUUUCAUGAUAAGAGAGGAGGUCAUACCGGAGGGAGCAGCGGACCCGUCGACCGGAGUCGAGGGCUAGAACCCGGUGGGCAAUAGAUCAGAAGAGGGGAUUAUCCUUUGGAUAUUACUGA
rnacentral:lncRNA from 1 species